rnacentral:rRNA from 1 species
GUCUAUGGCCAUGCCACCCUGAAUGUGCCUGAUCUUGUCUGAUCUCGGAAGCUAAGCAGGGUUGGGCCUGGUUAGUACUUAGAUGAGAGACCAUCUAGGAAUACCAGGUGCUGUAGGCA